CGCACAUUGCGCCCCUUGGUAUUCCGAGGGGCAUGCCUGUCCGAGCGUCAUUGCACCUCUCAAGCUUCGCUUGGUAUUGGGACCCGCCCCUCACGGUGGCCCCGAAAAGCAGUGGCGGUCCGGUGAGACUUCAAGCGUAGUGGAAUAACUUUUCAAGUUCUCGCUCUGAACGUUCAAGCCGUGGCCCCGCCAGUUCAACCCGUAUUUUUUUCAGGUUGACCUCGGAUCAGGUAGGGAUACCCGCUGAACUUAA
rnacentral:misc_RNA from 1 species